rnacentral:tRNA from 1 species
GUAUUGGUGGUUCAGUGGUAGAAUUCUCGCCUGCCACGCGGUAGGCUCGGGUUCGAUUCCCGGCCAGUGCA